rnacentral:lncRNA from 1 species
ACGCAACGGUGCGCUCGGUUCGGCGAUCCGACGAGUGUACGCGGAGAUAUUGAGGAUCGAAGCCGUUAAGGUACAGAUUGCCGCAGCUCACGGCGAAAGCUUCCAAAAAUCAUGAAAAUGGAAUUGUAGCAUCGUGGUGUCGGGGAAUAAACUCCAGAACAGACGGAUCGCGGAUAGGAGGUCAUUUGGCAGUCGCGCGUGAGUUGGGUCGAGCCGUGCGGCGUGCGCCGCAGGAGGCCGAUUGCGAGUGACGACGAGCAAUCGGAACGCUAUAAAAGGUGGGUGGUGUCCAUCCCAAAGCAAUCGGGCUCCCUUUUAUGUCUAAGUUUAUAUUGAUCAAAUUGCAUAUUGACAUCUUGCAUUAUAGGGUGAUAAAUGAUGGUUUGGUCCUAUACCUUGCAUGUUCUUUGGUAGAAUAAUGUAUUUGGCUUAGUACUUAUAUCUAGCAUGCUUGAGGUUUAUAUAUGUGAUGUGGAACCCUAUAAUGAGAUGAUAAGUGUGGAUGGGAAUUUAGUNGAUGAUCGUGGUAAGGGCGUAGCGCCCUAGCUAGCUAGUAGAGCUUUCCUAUUGUACUAGAGCACCCUCGUGUGCAUGGUUAUAGAUGACAUGAUGUAUUUUGGAUAGCUAGCAUUAUAUAUGUAAGGUAUCGGACUUCUAAAAUCAUGAAGUUACGGUGUACAUUUGGUUGGAAGACUAUUUGAAAGGUUCUGGUGAAGUUCGGUGAAGUUCGGGAGCAUUCGGGCGUUUCGGUGCGCGUAGGCGCUAAAACGGAACCCGGGAGGCUAAGUGGGCCGUGAGUUAAAUCCGGCAUUAGCGAGGAUGGAAAGAUGAUGAAAACAUGUUUGGAAACAUGUUUGGAGAGUCUCGGUUCGAUUUGAGACGAAUCGGAGGUCAAACGAGCAAAAACGGACGAAAACGGGCGAAAAUGCUGAAAAUUUGGCUGUCCUUGAGGCUGAGUUCUAGACCUUCGGGGACCGGUCUCUUAGCCAAGGACCGGUCUCUCAGGGACCGGUCUCUCACCGCAAGGACCGGUCCCCGAGCGCGAAAAUGGCCCCCGCGGGGGCAAUGUAAUAAAGUGAAAGUUGAGGGGUUUUUAUGCAUUUGUAGCAUUAUGAGAGUGUAUAGAAGUGGGUUUUAGCCCAUUUCUCUCUCUCCCUCAACCGUAUGAACCCAACACCCCUCCCUCUCUCCCUCUCUAACGUGAAGAAGAAGAAGAAGAAAGAGGAGAAGGAAAAGGAGAAGAAGAAAAGGGAGGAGAAGGAGAGAAGCAUCAUCAUCACCACCAUCAUCUUCUUCUUCCUCUCAACCUUGGAGCUAACACCUAGAGGUAAGCUUGAUGCUUAUUAAUGGUAGAUCUCUAGGGCUUGAGCCUUUUGCUCUAGAAUUGGAUUUAGAUGAAUCCUAGCAAGCUUAAUAGAUGUUUAUUGCAUGAAUUGGAGAUCAAUUUGGUGGAUUUUGCCGUAGUACAAAUCUAGGGCUCCAAAAUGGCGAUUUGAUUUACAGGAGGGUUUGAUCUCUUUUAACACUCUGUAAACCUAAUUGGUAGGUCUACGAACGCAACGGUGCGCUCGGUUCGGCGAUCCGACGAGUGUACGCGGAGAUAUUGAGGAUCGAAGCCGUUAAGGUACAGAUUGCCGCAGCUCGCGGCGAAAGCUUCCAAAAAUCAUGGAAAUGGAAUCGUAGCAUCGUGGUGUCGGGGAAUAAACUCCAGAACAGACGGAUCGCGGAUAGGAGGUCAUUUGGCAGUCGCGCGUGAGUUGGGUCGAGCCGUGCGGCGUGCGCCGCAGGAGGCCGAUUGCGAGUGACGACGAGCAAUCGGAACGCUAUAAAAG